GGACCCGCACAAGCGGUGGAUGAUGUGGUUUAAUUCGAUGCAACGCGAAAAACCUUACCUACCCUUGACAUGUCAAGAAUUCUGCAGAGAUGUGGAAGUGCUCGAAAGAGAACUUGAACACAGGUGCUGCAUGGCCGUCGUCAGCUCGUGUCGUGAGAUGUUGGGUUAAGUCCCGCAACGAGCGCAACCCUUGUCAUUAGUUGCUACGCAAGAGCACUCUAAUGAGACUGCCGGUGACAAACCGGAGGAAGGUGGGGAUGACGUCAGGUCCUCAUGGCCCUUAUGGGUAGGGCUACACACGUCAUACAAUGGCCGGUACAGAGGGCUGCCAACCCGCGAGGGGGAGCCAAUCCCAGAAAACCGGUCGUAGUCCGGAUCGUAGUCUGCAACUCGACUGCGUGAAGUCGGAAUCGCUAGUAAUCGCGGAUCAGCUUGCCGCGGUGAAUACGUUCCCGGGUCUU
rnacentral:rRNA from 1 species